rnacentral:rRNA from 1 species
GAUGAACGCUGGCGGCGUGCCUAAUACAUGCAAGUCGAACGAAACUUCUUUAUCACCGAGUGCUUGCACUCACCGAUACAGAGUUGAGUGGCGAACGGGUGAGUAACACGUGGGCAACCUGCCCAAAAGAGGGGGAUAACACUUGGAAACAGGUGCUAAUACCGCAUAACCAUAGUUACCGCAUGGUAACUAUGUAAAAGGUGGCUAUACUACCGCUUUUGGAUGGGCCCGCGGCGCAUUAGCUAGUUGGUAGGGUAAAGGCUUACCAAGGCAAUGAUGCGUAGCCGAAUUGAGAGGUUGAUCGGACACAUUGGGACUGAGACACGGCCCAAACUCCUACGGGAGGCAGCAGUAGGGAAUCUUCCACAAUGGGCGAAAGCCUGAUGGAGCAACGCCGCGUGGGUGAAGAAGGUCUUCGGAUCGUAAAACCCUGUUGUUAGAGAAGAAAGUGCGUGAGAGUAACUGUUCACGUUUCGACGGUAUCUAACCAGAAAGCCACGGCUAACUACGUG